GGCCGGUUAGCUCAGUUGGUUAGAGCAUGGUGCUAAUAAUGCCAAGGUCGCGGGUUCGAUCCUUGACGGGCCA
rnacentral:tRNA from 1 species